AGAGUUUGAUUAUGGCUCAGGAUGAACGCUAGCUACAGGCCUAACACAUGCAAGUCGAGGGGCAGCAUGGGAGAAGCUUGCUUUCCCGAUGGCGACCGGCGAAUGGGUGAGUCACGCGUGUCCAACCUGCCCCCGGCCGGGGAUAGCCCUUGGAAAUGAGGAUUAAGACCCGAUAGGUGGAGCUUCCGCAUGGCGGCUCCAUGAAACGAGACCGGAGAUGGGGACGCGUCCGGAUUAGCUUGACGGCGGGCGACGGCCCACCGUGGCGACGAUCCGCAGGGUUCUGAGAGGAAGGUCCCCCACACCGGCACUGAGACACGGGCCAGACUCCUACGGGAGGCAGCAGUGAGGAAUAUUGGUCAAUGGGCGAGAGCCUGAACCAGCCAAGUAGCGUGCAGGAUGACGGCCCUACGGGUUGUAAACUGCUUUUGCGGGAGGAUAAAGGACACUACGUGUAGUGUUUUGCAGGUAUCCCGUGAAUAAGGACCGGCUAAUUCCGUGCCAGCCGCUGC
rnacentral:rRNA from 1 species